UAAUUUUUAUAUAAACAAAACUACUCAAAAAUAUAAUUAAAAUUACUAAAAUAACUAUUAAAUAAAAUAACAGUUUUAUACAUAUUGAUUAAUUUUGAUCAUAGAUUGACUUUAAUCAAAUGGUCACAAAUGAACCUUGUGGUUAUCCUCAUGCUUCUUUCCUAUUGGUCAAUUCUGUUAAGACAAGGAUUGCACUUCUUUCUUUCCUCUCUCACGACGUCUCAUCUCUUCUCUCUCUUUCCUCUCUCACGACAAGGACUAGAUCUAAAGUUGAUUGGAGUUUGAAUCCAAGAGUUGAGAGAAGAAGAAUCAUGGAGAGGACGACCAAGUCUCUGAAACUUGCCUCCGUACGCCUCCUCUCAACUCGUCGCCACCACCACCACCGAGGCGCUCGUUACCACCACCGAGGUGCUCAUCACCACCACCACUCCCUUCGAUUCCGGCGCACACUUCACCACCACUAAGGUCACCUCUCAAAUGUCUGAUGAGUGAAGCAUGAGAUCUGAUCCGUCAAAUGUCAGAAGCUUCUCAAAUGUCACUCUUCACCACCACUAAGCUAAAGAAGGUGGAGGAGGCUGAAGAAGCUUGGUGGUGGUGGUCUCAAGGUCGACAAUGGUGUCUGAGCGUGAUGGUUUUGAUGACUUGGUGAUAUCGUGCUGUUGACGAUGGCAGAGAGAGAGAGAGAGAGAGAGAGAGAGAGAGAGAGAGAGAGAGAGAGAGAGAGAGAGAGAGUGACGACGGUGGCGAGGACAGCAGACGGUGGCGAGUUUGGAUCGUGGAUGGUGGCUGAAGCUUUGUGAAGGUGGCGAUGGCGGCUGAAGCGUCUAGGUUUAGAUUUGGGUUUAGGUUUAGGUUUAGUUAAUCAAUUGGUUUAGUUAGAUUUACAUUAAUUAAUUGGUUAGUUAAGAGUAGAGUAGUAAUAUAUUUAUGUAUUAUUGGUUUAGUUUUGUAAACCAAAAUUUAUUGUAAACUAAAUUUAAUUUAUAAAUAAAAUUUAUUUAAUUUUUAA